rnacentral:rRNA from 1 species
GUCUUAAAGAAAUUAAUUUUAAGUCUAAUCUGCCCAAUGAUUAAAUUUAAUGGCUGCAGUAUUUAUAACUGUACAAAGGUAGCAUAAUAAUUUGUUUUUUAAUUAAAAACUAGAAUGAAAGAUUAAAUGAGAUAAAAACUGUUUCAAUUAAAUAUUUAUUAAAUUUAUUAUUUAAGUUAAAAAACUUAAAUAAAUUAUAAAGACGAUAAGACCCUAUAGAAUUUAAUUUUUUAAAUAAUUAAUAAUUAUUAUUAAUUAUUUAAAAAAUUUAAUUGGGGUAAUUAAAAAAUUUAAAUAAUUUUUUUUUAAAAAUACAUUUAUUUAUGAAUUAAAAUAUCUUAAUUUUUAAAUUAAAAAAAUUAAUUACCUUAGGGAUAACAGCAUAAUUUUUUUUGAAAGAUCUUAUUAAUAAAAAAGAUUAU